UACGGGGGGGGCAAGCGUUGUUCGGAAUUACUGGGCGUAAAGGGCUCGUAGGCGGCCAACUAAGUCAGAUGUGAAAUCCCCAGGCUUAACCUGGGAACUGCAUCUGAUACUGGAUGGCUUGAAUCCGGGAGAGGGAUGCAGAAUUCCAGGUGUAGCGGUGAAAUGCGUAGAUAUCUGGAGGAAUACCGGUGGCGAAGGCGGCAUCCUGGACCGGCAUUGACGCUGAGGAGCGAAAGCCAGGGGAGCAAACGGG
rnacentral:rRNA from 1 species